rnacentral:rRNA from 1 species
AGAACGAACGCUGGCGGCAUGCCUAACACAUGCAAGUCGAACGCUUCCGGGGCUUCGGUCGCGGAGGAGUGGCGCACGGGUGAGUAGCGCGUGGGAACCUGCCCUGUUGUGGGGGAUAACCGAGGGAAACUUCGGCUAAUACCGCAUACGCCCCGGGACUUGGUCUUCGGAUUAGGUCUGGGGGGAAAGAUUGAUCGCAGCAGGAGGGGCCCGCGUCGGAUUAGCUGGUUGGUGGGGUAACGGCUCACCAAGGCGAUGAUCCGUAGCUGGUCUGAGAGGAUGAUCAGCCACACUGGGACUGAGACACGGCCCAGACUCCUACGGGAGGCAGCAGUGGGGAAUAUUGGACAAUGGGGGCAACCCUGAUCCAGCAAUGCCGCGUGAGUGAUGAAGGCCUUAGGGUUGUAAAGCUCUUUCGCCCGCGACGAUGAUGACGGUAGCGGGAGAAGAAGCCCCGGCUAACGUUCGUGCCAGCAGCCGC